AAGCUGGCGAGGUGCUGUGUGGACGUGUGGUGGGGAGAGGUGAUCUGCGCCACCACCGCCGCCGCCUCGGCCCUCGCUGCUUCUACGCUGCUGUCGUCAGUCAAGAUGUCCGCCAGGCACAGGAUGCCGUCCACCUGCAGCUGCCAUUGACCCAGAGUGUGUGCAUCCCCGUCUGAGGAGAGGAGCAGGACGAGGGUGGAGCAACUGAUCUGCGGGGCGGUGUGUCGGGCAGGAAAAAACAGGACGGACCUUCAUCCACUUGGAGGUGAUGUUGCACAGUUCAUUUACAGCUGCUUUCUACUUUGCUGACGCGUAAGUGUUGAGCUCACACUCACAUUAAAAUGCAUCGUCUUCAGUUGCAAAUCUUUUCCAGGUGGUGGAAAAUGCAUUAACAGGUAUAUGUGAAAUAGUGAGGCUGUGUGUGGAAUCAUUUACUCGUGUGUGUGUGUGUGUGUGUCACCACAAGCCAAAGCUGCUGAAAACAAAAGUUUGGAGACGAGGAUCCAAAGUGAGACGAGCCAUCAGCUCGCAGCCAGACGCACCUGUCAGUCUUAUCUGCUGAUGAGCAUCAGCGCUCUGAGCUUCACAGGGCAAGUCCCUAUUUUUGUCUCCGUGGACGUCAGCAGCACUGACGUGGAACGCUCCGCUCUCCACUCCACUUCCCCGUUCCCCCACCGCCGCCCUCACCCGCGUCUCCGCCUUCCCACCGAAACAUUAACGUCCUCAUUUACUGUACACACAGUAUUGAGCAUCAGGGUCUGAAGUGAAACACCAUUUAUCAAGUUCUUCUGUGAUUUGGGAAAACACAUAACUGUUGGUGUGUGUAGCAGCACGUGAGGAGAAGCUCGUAAAACUAUACACAAGAAAACAAACACCUGUUGCUUCUAUUAAAUGACAAAAACACGAUUCAAACAGUUCAUCUCCCAAACUUUAAAAGUCUAAUUCAUUUGCAUUCACUUUAACCUGAAACCUGGCACUUUGCACCUCAUCACUCGGCAUCAGUGCUUUGUUGUUUUGAUCACGAGCGGUGCAGGUGCCCACCAGCCUCCCUCAGCGCUGACAGGUGUGUUCCUCAAGCCUGAGCGAUCGGCUGCCUGACAGCCUCCCUCCGAGGAGCCGGCUCGCUAAUCUGGGCUGGACUCUGCCUCCCAUUAAAGAGCUUCCACACAUGGAUGACUGCCACCCUCCCAGCUGUGGGCGCAGACGCCGCUGUGUCGUACUGGAAACGCUUCUUUGUUUUGGUUGAAUCUCAAUAGAGAACAAAGCAGAAGGAGUGUUUGUGGAUUCUCACUACCUGCACGAGUGUCUCAGCUCUGCCUCGCUGGAAAUCACAUCUCAUUUUGUGUGUCAGCAUCCAUCGCACCCUCGCUGUCUCUGGGACUAAAAUUAAAGUUUGAGAAAGUUGUGCUUCCAGAGCCCUGAGCUUCCUCAACCGGAGAAACUCAACUACAGCAGCCUAAUAAUGUCUAAACAAUGCAGAGAAGCCAAGUGUGGCAUCAAUUAUUCAUGAUGAGACACAAACAGAAGCAGUGAUGCUGUUAAACUUGGCUCUGCCUUCCACACAUCCGCACUGAAACAAAAACGCCCUCCUCAGGGUCAGCAGGACUUCGAUGGAGCAGAUUUAUCUCUGAAUGUGUUUACAAAAUGUGACCUGUUACAUGGAACCAGUGAAAACGAUCGUACAGCUUGUUUCCUUUGGGCCAAACCUCCUGCUGCCGUUGCUGUUGGCACAUAUUCCUGAGUGAAAAUAGACUGCAGCCUCUUAGUCACAACAUGGAGCGAGCGGCAAAACGGACCGGGACCGGGACCAGGACCAGGACCGGGUCAGGACCAGGACCAAACUCCUAUUUGGGCUGACUAAUGUAAACAUAGAGUAAUCUGUCUGCAUGGACGCAGCUAAGGCGCUUUACGGGAAGUACUGCCAUCCCUCCCUCCCUCUCUCUCUCUCUUGCUCUCGCUCUAAACAUCAAUUUUGCAUUAAAAGAAUAUCUGCUCUCUUGUAGCCAUAAGUUAGAGGUAAAUGUGUUUAGUUAUUACGUCAAUCUGUGGCCAGUUUCAUUAUACAAAUUGAAUGAAUUCAUUCAUUUUUUCUCUGUUAUUUGCUUCAUGGGGUGUGUCUGCAUUUGUAUGGCUGCAUUUGGAGCAGGCGCACGUUAGUGUUUGUCCUACUGAUGAUCAGCAAGAAAGAAAAAACACUUAGUCGUUUAGUCCAGUCUAUGGUUUGGGCCUGAAGUUGUGAUUCUAAUAACAAAAGCGAGGUUGGGGACUUGGACCGUCUCUGCGGCCGCCGAGGACGAGGACGUGUGUGUUUACCUUGUCCAGUUGGCUGAUGCCCUCGUCCACGCAGCAGAUGGAGGCCACCGUUCGGAGAGCGUGAGCGUACAGCUCCCGGAAACGGUCCUGUCUGCAGAUCUUAAACAGGGCCACCACUGCUCCCUCCUGCACAGCAACACAGACACCAUCACAAUAAGGACACGUAGCCUCUGCUGCUGUGCUCACGUUAACACAGGGUUUUCCCAUCACCACCGUGGACCAGGACUCACUAAUCACUGGAUUCAUUUGUCAGCUGCUUCUGUCUGUUUUACUCAUCAUGAAUCCAUGUUGGGAAAAUCAUUUUCAUUGAGAGUCCAGCUGUUCCAGAACAGGCCUGACAUUAUUCAGUCCGUAAAUUACACACUCUGCCUCGUGGUCAGCUCUUGUCUUAAAGCGUAUGUGAUGAAAAUAAUGGAUCCAAUUGCUCAGUGUGACGGCGCCGUAAGUUCUGCUGGGACAGCGGCUGUUUCCACUGCCGAUGAACUCACCGUCUGAAUAACCCACCAACGGGCCACAGUUUUUCACCACAGCAGCCAAAAUAUACAGAUUUCAUGAAUGGAAAACACGGAGGACUGAACAAUGCGGAGAAAUGAUGCGGUGGCUGUAAUAGCUGAGCAAUUUCUGUCAGAUUAUGUUGGGAGUAAACAAACCAAAAUAGCUCAUGUCACAAAAAACACUUGCAGGUUCUGAGUUCUGCUCAGCUUGCACCCAGGCAGAACCGGUAACGACCACCAUUAUCCUAAUAAGGCCAUUAUACGGAGCUGCUCAGCCGGGCUGCCCGGGCUUGAAGUGGCUAAUCAUCCAGGCCUCUGGCCCAACGGCGCCGUCCCCGGCUCCAGCUUCCAGCAAACCUGUGCAAACUCCAGGAGGGUCUACAGUUGGGGGCGAUGAAGAGGCUGUUGAUCCGCCGCUAAUGUUUCUUCUCAGAAAUCUUGUGGCGACUCUUCAGGCGUCGGAUGCAGUUUUGAGCUCUCUGGUUUGUACAAUAAUCAAUUUGCUGUUUUUCAAGGUGGUCCAGAUCAAACACAGCUCUGCCAUUAAUUUGACUGACUAGGUGAUCAUUUCCCCACCUUUAGUUCAAACAUAUACAAACAUUUUUUUAGUUUAGUUUGUUCAUCAAGACUAGAGAAUGACUGAGUAGCUUGGGUCCACUUUAAAACGAGAACUGAACUUGAUCUGCAGGCGCUGGACGUCCGAGGCACUGGACUGGACAGCGAGGCUGCCCUUCCAGCCUCCGGUACCAGAUCCGUGCAAUGUCUGCCUGAAUUCACGGGGAGAGUGGGAGCGUUGACGACGUUUCGAGGGUCUGCUGCCACCGCUCGCCUGCAUCACGGGGACUAUGUUUAGCAGAACAUCAGACGUCUGAAGUCAGGUCUUUUAUCACCAGGUCUGAGUUUCCAGCUCUGAGACGAGGCCUCGGCUCGUUUAGCUGAGCAUCCAUCAGGACAGAAGGAGCAGACGUCUGAUUCCAGAUGUGUGAGGCGGUCUCUCGUGUGCAGCCGAGGCCAGGUUCAGCGAAGCAGCCCACUCAGCCUAAGGUUUCCUUCCUGGGUCUGUGCAGCGUACGCAUGGAAGGCGCUGCUGCAGGCUUCAGUCUCCUCAUCGGAGCGUCUCCAGCGCUUGUUUUUUGUUGUCUCUCCCUGUGCUCAUCACCACCCAACCCACAAGUAUGCAACUAUCCAGUGUUCAAGGGCUGCAGGCAGAAACCAGGGCCACCUCAUGGCCUCAGGUCUUACUGCUUCUGCUGGGGGAGAUGUUCGUAUGUGUGCGUGACUUCCAUGUGUGUUUGUGAUUCAUUCAGAUGCAGCUGAGGCUUUGGCUCCCGUUCCUGCCUGAUUGACUGCAGCAGCAGCGACUGUGAUGCUGUGUGCGCGGCUGCUCGUCUAUGUACUAUCGCGUGACAGCGACGCUGAUUUGAUCCAAGCGCAGCCACCGAGCGUCUUCGGGGGAAGCACAACUGUCACAAGAUAUAUAUUCACCUUCUUUAUCACAAAUGGGCCGAACCACAGGAGCUGAUGAAAAGUCUACAGAACAAUGUAAGAGUGGCUCCACUGUUUGAAGGCAGCCUCGCCUGGAUUCUGCUUCCCCUGGAGGAACCCGGACCCGGUGCCUGACAGCCGCCCGUCAGCCUUUUCCCAGCUUCAACUAAAUGACGCGUCAGCACCGACUGGGAGCAGUCAACCUGAUGCUACAGGACCUUCAGUGCAGACACAGGAGACAGGAGGGGGAGACUGAAAACAGCAGAGGACACGUCUGAAUGAAGAGAGUCAGGAACGAAAAGCCACAUUCAUCGCUUCAUCGCAUUCACUGAGGUGCGGCGCUGUGCAGAGAUCAGCCAUUCACACUGCCACCUGUUGGAGACGGGCAGUAAAGCAUCAGAGCCCCCCCCCCCCAAAAAAAACAGAGCCCAGAGCAGUGUGAAGCUGGAGCAGCCGCCGAGCUGAAUGGAUGAAGCACCUGCAGUGAGAACCAGGCUCCGAGUUUAGAAGAAGAACAAGGCUGACUGCAGUUUUGCUGCCUUUUAUUAAGCAAUUACCCAUGCAGUUGUUUUCUGUUAUGAUCAUAUGUCUCAACAUGUCCAUGCUGCUACGGUGUCAGUUGAAAAUACAUGAGCCCCAGUGAAUCCCAUGUAAACAUCUGCAGACGCUCGCUGCGCGGAUGCAGGAUGUGGAUUUGAUCGUCAGUGUUUUUGCCAAAUUACAGACUUAAUAAGCAGAGCUGCACCGUCUCCCACUGCUUUUGGAGCUGCUGCUCAUUUUACAGUGUUUUUGCUUUUCAGGCUUUUCAUUGUUUAAAUUCGUUCUACAGCUGAAUUCUUAAAAACAUUUGAAGAACAACACAAGUACCCCAAACCCGAGUGUAUCUAAAAUACAUUUUAAUCUUGCUGAAAUUUGUUUUUCACAAUAUCGUUUACAAUAUUCAGUGUCUUCAUUCUCUUCAUCUUCUUUAUCAUCUCGAAACAGAGCUGUACAAUCGUGUUCGUGUAAAUUGUUCUACUUCAAGGCACAAGACAACAGCCGUUGUGGGGGGGCCUUGGGUAGGCUGAUCUUUAAUGGACCCUCUGGAGGAGGGGGGUGAUGGGACACGGGUCUGAGAUGAGGAGGGUCACGUGGGAGAAAUGUGCUCUAACAAAAAAGGUGAUCACCACUGCUGCUUUUACUUUAUUUUCCAAUGAUAGUCAUGUAUAAAAAGAGAAACCAUCAGGAUGUUCUUUUCUCCGGGAGCUCGUUUGUUCAUGUACUUAACUAAAGUGCUUCUUCUGUUUUUUUUUUCUCUUA